rnacentral:lncRNA from 1 species
CUGAAGCAGGUGAAGAGGCAGUCAGCCCAGCUCACUUUUUCCUUCUGUGCAGUGUCAUCAUAAAACUCUACACUGAUUUUCAUCUGUUGUGACCACACAGUUAAGAAAGGCUCUUCAGCCCUCGCCAAACCCAUCACCUAACACUCGAGGAAUAGAGGCUUCCAAGCAUUUUGGACACCUGCCCCAUUUCUGAAGGCCCCAUUUUCAGGGGGCAGUGCAGAUGCCUAACUAUGAGCAAGGAGGAAUACAUCUGGGAGUACGUAUGUGCCAAGGCUCUGGCAGGGAGAUGAAGCCUACAUUUGCCACGUCUGGUUUCCAAAAUAAAAUGACUUAGUCCUGUCAUGGCGUAUGUGAAAAAUUUUUAAGACAGCUGACUAAAAGGCAUGUGAAAUGUGAAUUUCCCAAUUGCUUGUAGUCACUAAAAAGCAAUCUGGACUGUGCAGAUGUGCUACAAUGCAAUACCUCUUAAUAGGAGAUAUUUAUUUCUAAAGUCUGUGUGCAAAGUGACACAGCAGUGGCCAGUGGAAAUGAGUCGGCAGAUGAAAAAGUCUCUGGGAGUCCACCUGCCCAACAGCCUCCUGGAAUGUUUACUGUGCAGAUGA